rnacentral:rRNA from 1 species
CCUACGGGAGGCAGCAGUGGGGAAUAUUGGACAAUGGGGGGAACCCUGAUCCAGCCAUGCCGCGUGUGUGAAGAAGGCCCUCGGGUUGUAAAGCACUUUCAGCGAGGAAGAACGCCUAGCGGUUAAUACCCGCUAGGAAAGACAUCACUCGCAGAAGAAGCACCGGCUAACUCCGUGCCAGCAGCCGCGGUAAUACGGAGGGUGCAAGCGUUAAUCGGAAUUACUGGGCGUAAAGCGCGCGUAGGUGGCUUGAUAAGCCGGUUGUGAAAGCCCCGGGCUCAACCUGGGAACGGCAUCCGGAACUGUCAAGCUAGAGUGCAGGAGAGGAAGGUAGAAUUCCCGGUGUAGCGGUGAAAUGCGUAGAGAUCGGGGGGAAUACCAGUGGCGAAGGCGGCCUUCUGGACUGACACUGACACUGAGGUGCGAAAGCGUGGGUAGCAAACAGGAUUAGAUACCCUGGUAGUCCACGCCGUAAACGAUGUCGACCAGCCGUUGGGUGCCUAGCGCACUUUGUGGCGAAGUUAACGCGAUAAGUCGACCGCCUGGGGAGUACGGCCGCAAGGUUAAAACUCAAAUGAAUUGACGGA